UGAGGGAUAUUGGUCAAUGGGGGAAACCCUGAACCAGCGACGCCGCGUGGGUGAAGAAGGUCUUCGGAUCGUAAAGCCCUUUUCUGUGUGAAGAGAGAGGACGGUAGCACAGGAAUAAGUCUCGGCUAACUACGUGCCAGCAGCCGCGGUAAAACGUAGGAGACAAGCGUUAUCCGGAGUUACUGGGCGUAAAGGGCGUGUAGGUGGCAGAAUAAGUCUGUUGUGAAAGCGCCUGGCUUAACCGGGCGAGGCCAAUGGAGACUGUUCAGCUCGAGGCCGGUAGAGGUGGGUGGAAUUCCGGGUGUAGUGGUGAAAUGCGUAGAGAUCCGGAGGAACACCAGAGGCGAAGGCGGCCCACUAGGCCGGACCUGACACUGAAACGCGACAGCAUGGGGAGCAA
rnacentral:rRNA from 1 species